GCAACAUCAGGCUGGUCGCCUCGGACCGCACCGUGCUGCAGGCGCUUCUGGCCAUUUCCUGGAUGUGGUUCUACGGCGUGGCCUUUCUCACCCAGUUCCCGGUGUUCGCCAAGGGCGUGCUG
rnacentral:ncRNA from 1 species